rnacentral:rRNA from 3 species
GAAGGUGUGUCGUGAGGCAUGCUGGAGGUAUCAGAAGUGCGAAUGCUGACAUAAGUAACGAUAAAGCGGGUGAAAAGCCCGCUCGCCGGAAGACCAAGGGUUCCUGUCCAACGUUAAUCGGGGCAGGGUGAGUCGACCCCUAAGGCGAGGCCGAAAGGCGUAGUCGAUGGGAAACGGGUUAAUAUUCCCGUACUUGGUGUUACUGCGAAGGGGGGACGGAGAAGGCUAUGUUGGCCGGG